rnacentral:rRNA from 1 species
GAUGAACGCUAGCGGCAGGCUUAAUACAUGCAAGUCGAGGGGCAGCAUGAUUGUAGCAAUACAGUUGAUGGCGACCGGCAAACGGGUGCGGAACACGUACACAACCUUCCAACAAGUGGGGGAUAGCCCAGAGAAAUUUGGAUUAAUACCCCGUAACAUAGCGAUGUGGCAUCACAUUGCUAUUAUAGAUUUUUCGCUUGUUGAUGGGUGUGCGGCUGAUUAGAUAGUUGGCGGGGUAACGGCCCACCAAGUCUACGAUCAGUAGCUGAUGUGAGAGCAAGAUCAGCCACACGGGCACUGAGACACGGGCCCGACUCCUACGGGAGGCAGCAGUAAGGAAUAUUGGACAAUGGACGCAAGUCUGAUCCAGCCAUGCCGCGUGAAGGAUGAAGGUCCCCUGGAUUGUAAACUUCUUUUAUAAGGGACGAAAAAAGGCUUUUCUAAGUCGUCUGACGGUACCUUAUGAAUAAGCACCGGCUAACUCCGUGCCAGCAGCCGCCGUAAGAC